rnacentral:rRNA from 1 species
AGUUUGAUCAUGGCUCCGUUGAACGCUGGCGGGAUGCUUUACACGCCGUCGAACGGCAGCCUGGACUUCGGUCUGGUGGCGAGUGGCGAACGGGUGAGUAAUGUAUCAGGAACGUGCUAGUAGCGGGGAUAACUACGCGAAAGCGUAGCUAAUACCAUAACAUACGCCCUUCGGGAAGCGGGGACCUUCACGGGCCUCGCACUAUUAGAGCGGCCGAUAUCGGAUUAGCUAGUUGGUGGGGGUAACGGCUCACCAGGCGACGAUCCAUGUGGUUUUGAAGGACGACCAACCACACUGGGACUGAGACACGGCCCGAACUCCUACGGGAGGCAGCAGUGGGGAAUUUUUGGACAAUGGAAACCCUGAUCCAGCCUUAACGUGUGCGAUGAAGGCCUUCCGGGUUGUAAAGCACUUUUGGCAGAAGAAACGGCACGGAUAUGCCCGUGCAGCUGACGGUACCUGCAGAAUAAGCACCGGCUAACUACGUGCCAGCAGCCGCGGUAAUACAUCAGAGGUGCAAGCGUUAAUCAGAAUUACUGGGCGUAAAGCGUGCGCAACGGUUCGGAAAAGAAAAGAUGUGAAAUCCCAGAGCUUAACUUUGGAACUGCAUUUUUAACUACCGAGCUAGAGUGUGUCAGAGGAGGUGGAAUUCCGCGUCUUAACAGUGAAAUGCGUAGAUAUGCGGAGGAACACCGAUAGCGAAGAGCAGCCUCCUGGGAUAACACUGACGCUCAUGCACGAAAGCGUGGGAGUAAACAGGAUUAGAUACCCUGGUAGUCCACGCCCUAAACGAUGUCAACUAGCUGUUGGACUUUACGGACCUUGGUGGCGCUAACGCGUGAAGUUGACCGCCUGGGAAGUACGGUCGCAGAUUAAAAACUCAAAGGAAUUGACGGGGACCGCACAAGCGGUGGAUGAUGUGGAUUAAUUCGAUGCAACGCGAAAAGCCUUACCUACCCUUGACAUGUCUGGAAUCCGAAGAAGAUUUGAGUGCUCGCAAGAGAACCGGAACACAGGUGCUGCAUGGCUGUCGUCAGCUCGUGUCGUGAGAUGUUGGGUUAAGUCGCAACAGCGCAACCGCUUGUCAUUAGUUGCUACGAAAGGGCACUCUAAUGAGACUGCCGGUGACAAACCGGAGGAAGGUCGAGGAUGACGUCAGAACUCAUGGCCCUUAUGGGUAGGGCUUCACACGUCAUACAAUGGAUGAGACAGAGGUCGCCAACCCGCGAGGACAAUCGAAGCGAUCAAUAGUCCGGAUCGCAGUCUGCAACUCGACUGCGUGAAGUCGGAAUCGCUAGUAAUCGCGGAUCAGCAUGUCGCGGUGAAUACGUUCCCGGGUCUUGUACCCACCGCCCGUCACACCAUGGGAGUGGGUUUUACCAGAAGCGUUAGCUAACCUGUGGAGGGCGAUUACCACAGUAGGAUUUCAUGACUGGGGUGAAGUCGUAACAAGGUAA